CACAGUUUCCUUUGCAAUUGCAUCCAGAAGGACUCGGGGGAAUGCUCACAUUUGUUGCAAUGUGAAUAGAGUUGGUAUAUUUAAACCCUGCAGGAGCAAUAGGAGGAUCAAUCAUAUUUGUAACAGGAAUAGGUAUAUCUUCUUCACCAUAAGAUAUGUCCUCACACACCAAGCCUGGCAAUUUAGAAUAAUCUUUAGACACACUCUCCGGUUCAAUGCAAUCCUUUGCACCAGCCUUGUGACGCAUAUGAUUGGAUAACAACCUCUUAUGGUCCAUUGAUUUCACAUAAGCACCAUUUUCUAAACUCAUUAUUUCCAUACUUUUGCAUUUAACAAGUCCAAAACCAGAGGCCAUCAGACUUUCAGAAUCUCUAUCAUAUG
rnacentral:misc_RNA from 1 species